rnacentral:rRNA from 1 species
AGAACGAACGCUGGCGGCGUGGAUUAGGCAUGCAAGUCGAACGCGAAAGAGGGGGGGUAACUCCCCUCUAGUAGAGUGGCGAACGGGUGAGUAACGCGUGAAGAACCUGCCUUCAACAGGGGGAUAACACUCCCAACGGGGUGCUAAUACCGCAUGAGACCACGGGAUCGCAUGGUCCUGAGGUCAAAGGUGGCCUCUAUUUAUAAGCUACCGGUUGAAGAUGGCUUCGCGUCCCAUUAGCUAGUUGGCGGUGUAAAAGACCACCAAGGCGACGAUGGGUAG